rnacentral:sRNA from 1 species
UGCCUGGCCAAAGAACUUAUUAACAUUAGUGUCACUAAAGUUGGUAUACAACCCCCACUGCUAAACUUGACUGGCAAAAA